UACGAAGGGUGCAAGCGUUACUCGGAAUUACUGGGCGUAAAGCGUGCGUAGGUGGUUUGUUAAGUCUGAUAUGAAAGCCCUGGGCUCAACCUGGGAAUUGCAUUGGAUACUGGCAGGCUAGAGUGCGGUAGAGGGUAGUGGAAUUCCCGGUGUAGCAGUGAAAUGCGUAGAUAUCUGGAGGAACACCGGUGGCGAAGGCGGCAUCCUGGACCGGUAUGACGCUGAUGCGCGAAAGCC
rnacentral:rRNA from 1 species